CCACAAUUCAUCGGAUCUCGACAAACACACGGCCAUAGAAGAUUACAUCGGAUAGAUCUCCAUGAAGAUCAUGGAGAACUUUGUAUUGAAGAUCGAAGAGAGAGAAGAAUCCAUCUAGCUACUAACUACGGACCCGUAGGUCUGAAGUGAACUACUCACGAGUCAUUGGAGGGGCGAUGAUGAUGAUGAAGAAGCCCUCCAACUCCAAAGUCCCCUCCGGCAGGGCGCCGGGAAGGGUCUCCAGAUGAGAUCUCGCGGAAACGGAAGCUUGCGGCGGCGGAAAAGUAUUUUCGAGGCUCCCCUGAUUUUUUGCGGAAUAUUUGGGAAUGUAUAGGGGCAAGACCAAGGUUAGGGGGCGGCCAGGGAGGCCACAAGCCCGCCCACCGUCGCCUCCCCCUGGUGGCAGAGUGGGGGCUUGUGGGCUCCCUGGAGCCCACCUGGCUUGGCCCAAAAGCCCCGUGGACUUCUUCCGUUCGGGAAAAAAUCAUUUCGGGGUUUUUCUACCGUUUGGACUCCGUUCCAAAAUCAGAUCUGAAAAGAGUCAAAAACACAGAAAAACAGGAACUGGCACUUGGCACUGAAUCAAUAAGUUAGACCCAAAAAGAUAUAAAAAGGUACAUAAAAAUACAAGGAAGACAAGAUAACAGCGUGAAACCAUCAAAAAUUAUAGAUACGUUUGCGACGUAUCAAGCAUCCCCAAGCUUAACUCCUGCUCGUCCUCGAGUAGGGAAGUGAUAAGAAUGAAUUUUUGAUGCUUUCAUGCUACCUAGCAUAGGUGUCCUUUGUAAUUCCUCUUAUGUGACGUGAAUGUUCAGAUCCAUUAGAUUCAAAACAAUAGUUUGCUAUUG
rnacentral:lncRNA from 1 species